UACGAAAGGUGCGAGCGUUAAUCGGAAUUACUGGGCGUAAAGCGUGCGUAGGCGGUUAGUUAAGUCGGAUGUGAAAGCCCCGGGCUCAACCUGGGAUGGUCAUCCGAUACUGGCUAGCUAGAGUGUAGCAGAGGAGAGUGGAAUUUCCGGUGUAGCGGUGAAAUGCGUAGAGAUCGGAAGGAACACCAGUGGCGAAGGCGGCUCUCUGGGUUAACACUGACGCUGAGGUACGAAAGCGUGGGGAUCAAAC
rnacentral:rRNA from 1 species